rnacentral:rRNA from 1 species
UCGGGAAUAUUGGACAAUGGAGGGAACUCUGAUCCAGUGACGCCGCGUGAAGGAAGAAGGUCUUCGGAUUGUAAACUUAUUUUGUCAGGGAAGAAAAAAAUGACUGUACCUGAAGAAAAAGCACCGGCCAACUACGUGCCAGCAGCCGCGGUAAUACGUAGGGUGCAAGCGUUAUCCGGAUUUACUGGGUAUAAAGGGCGAGUAGACGGUUAUCUAAGUCAGAUGUGAAAACUUGGGGCUCAACCCCAAGACUGCAACUGAAACUAGACUACUAGAGUGCAGGAGAGGAAAAUGGAAUUCCUAGUGUAGCGGUGAAAUGCGUAGAUAUUAGGAGGAACACCAGUGGCGAAGGCGAUUUUCUGGACUGUAACUGACGUUGAGGCGCGAAAGUGUGGGGAGCAAACA